AAACUUUACAAUGCGGGAAACCGUGAUAAGGGAACCCCGAGUGCCCGUAAAUUCGGGCUGUCCGCCAGUGUAAAAAACUGGUGAAGAAAGGGCCGGGCAAGACCGGUGCCAGCCGCCGCGGUAAUACCGGCGGCUCGAGUGGUGGCCACUAUUACUGGGCUUAAAGCGUCCGUAGCUGGAUUGUUAAGUCUCCUGGGAAAUCUGUCGGCUUAACCGACAGGCGUUCAGGGGAUACUGGCAAUCUAGGGACCGGGAGAGGUGAGAGGUACUCCAGGGGUAGGAGUGAAAUCCUGUAAUCCUUGGGGGACCACCUGUGGCGAAGGCGUCUCACCAGAACGGCUCCGACAGUGAGGGACGAAAGCUGGGGGAGCAAACCGG
rnacentral:rRNA from 1 species